GACGGAGGAUGCAAGUGUUAUCCGGAAUCACUGGGCGUAAAGCGUCUGUAGGUGGUUUAAUAAGUCAACUGUUAAAUCUUGAGGCUCAACCUCAAAAUCGCAGUCGAAACUAUUAGGCUAGAGUAUAGUAGGGGUAAAGGGAAUUUCCAGUGGAGCGGUGAAAUGCGUAGAGAUUGGAAAGAACACCGAUGGCGAAGGCACUUUACUGGGCUAUUACUAACACUCAGAGACGAAAGCUAGGGUAGCAAUAGGGGAUUAAGAUACCCCGGU
rnacentral:rRNA from 1 species